rnacentral:snoRNA from 1 species
CUGCAUUCACUGAUAGACCUUAAACAAUUUGCUAUGGUUCUUUUGGUUUGCUGUAGGAUGCAAAAGGAAAAAAAAAAAAAUCUCUGUUUUCGUGGUGGCCCAGACUGAGUAGGGGAAUAUAUUU